UACAGGAUUGGACAGCUGUACAUGAUCAGCAAACACAGCCAUGAGCAGAGUGACCGAGGUGAGGGGGUGGAGGUGGUGCAGAACGAACCCUACGAAGAUCCCAACCAUGGCAAUGGGCAGCUCACAGAAAAACGUGUCUAUCUCAACAGCAAACUUCCUAGCUGGGCUAGAGCAGUUGUUCCCAAAAUAUUUUAUGUUACAGAGAAGGCCUGGAAUUAUUAUCCUUACACAAUCACAGAAUACACAUGUUCCUUUUUGCCCAAAUUCUCCAUUCAUAUAGAGACAAAGUAUGAGGACAACAAAGGAAGCAACGACAGUAUUUUUGACAAAGAAGCUAAAGACCUGGAGCGAGAAGUUUGCUUCAUCGACAUUGCCAGUGAUGAGAUUCCUGAGCGCUAUUACAAGGAGUCAGAGGAUCCCAAAUAUUUCAAGUCACAGAAGACUGGGAGAGGCCAAUUGAAAGAAGGCUGGAGAGAGACCCACCAGCCCAUUAUGUGUUCCUACAAACUUGUGACUGUGAAGUUUGAAGUCUGGGGACUUCAAACCAGAGUAGAGCAAUUUGUACACAAGGUGGUCAGAGACAUCCUCCUGAUCGGGCACCGGCAGGCGUUCGCCUGGGUGGAUGAGUGGUAUGAUAUGACUAUGGAUGAUGUUCGAGAAUACGAGAAAAAUAUGCAUGAAAAAACCAACAUUAAAGUUUGCAACCAACAUUCAUCUCCUGUGGAUGAAAUAGAGAGCCAUGCCCAAGCAAGAGUAUGUCCAUUUUAAACAUAUUGCCCAUCCUCAGCUAUGCACCUGCACAGAACAGAGAAGAGCAACCAGCUGACCUUGCUGACCUUGCUGGAAUUUUUGGGAGGUUUUGCUUCAGUAG